rnacentral:rRNA from 1 species
GACUAAAGCCAUAUCUCCCUGCAGUUCUUGCCUGGUUUCUCACUGAAGCUAAGCAGAAUUGAGCUUGGCCAGUACCUGGAUGGGAGACCUCAUGGUGAAAAUUAAGGUUGCUCC